rnacentral:lncRNA from 1 species
GAGAGCGCUGGAAAAGUCCAUCUCUAAUUCCUUCACCAACCCAGAUUCCCUGUCCCCACUGCUCAACCUCAUCAACCCUAACACCCCGCCUACGCCCACGCCCACGCCCACAUCCACAUCCACGCCCGCGCCCACGCCCACGCCCAGUGCUUCAAACGUUUCAGGCUCUGACCCUGAAACCGCACCCAAACGUAAGCGGACCACCAUCCCCCCUCCCACUGCCACUGGGAAAGUCUCCAAACGCAAGCCCCGCGCCUGUAAGCGCUCUCAGAC